ACAAUGUUUCAUACUAAUACUUUCCUUCCGUAUGUUAUGCGUCUGGAAGCCGUCUAAGCCUAAAGACUAUUAGAUGUGAUUCAUAGUUCCUUGAGUAUUCUUCAAAAUGGGAGUAAUUUUAUUUUAUUUAUUUAUUUUUUGUUCCUUAAUUCCUCAUAACUCAAUAAAAUUUUCGUUCUAUCUUAUCUAAAAUAUCUUAUCUAUCUUAUCUUGAACUUUUUGAAAUUCCUUUAAAGUUACGUAAAAAAAUUUCUGCUCUCGUUUUCACAGUUGGAAUAAAUAUAUUUACACCAUAUAAAUAUGCAUUUUUAAUCAAAAAUUCUAACAACAUAUACAAAAGCAACAUCAUUUUGAAAUCAUAGAUUUAAUUUAAAUACGAACUUUUAAAAAUAAACUUUCUGUCUAAAAGCGAAGUUUCUUGACUCCUUAAAAUUUCCUCAAAGUUCCCACCAAACAUUGGAAUGAAAUCCAAAAUAUCGAAGCAACUUGGGUGAAUGAUCGAAGUGUAAAAGCAUUUCCCUGCAUUUUUUAACAGCAGUUUUAUGUAAGGUAAUUCUUCCGCAGUAAGUGCAUAGAAUAGUUCAACGAACUAGCCCAACCAAAGGGUUCAACGUUUAAAAAAAUUUGUCUACACCCUUUCCCUUUAAGUGAUGUCGGAAAUGGCUCACCUGUUGAAACCCCCAAUCGCAUCUGGAGUCAUUGCGCCCCAAGAAAUUCUCCAGUUCUCUUCCAUCAUCUCAUAUCUCCAGUUGCGCAGAAACAUCAGAAAACUAGGGCGGCAUCAACAACAACGCAAUCUUCCUCCACUUAACCCUUUGAUCACAGUCCAAACGAAA
rnacentral:lncRNA from 1 species